GAGAGGUAACCUAAAGGUCAUACACUUUGGAACACUUUAGAGUACUUAAUAAAAUAAUUUCCAUUACACUUUUGUUCUGCUUGUCGACCAAUAACCAGCGUGCUUCAAGAAACCUUGUCGCUACUUAACAGCUCCUAUGAAAAAUAAUGUGUUUCUUCACGAUGGACCAAGCUCAACGUGUUGCAAACAAACUGAAUCGCGGCUGUUACAGCGCUUCGCUAUGGGACUACAUGUUCAGCAGUAUCACCGCUGGACUCUCUUCAGAUUCUGAAUCAGAAGGAGAUGAAGCGGAAGAUGAUAGCGACUGCAUUACUUUGGAGAACAUUCCUAGUUUGCAGCUGUCUUCAACCCAAGACGAGGAUGACAAAGAAAGCUUUGGAUGGGUGGCUGAGGAGCUAGAACGUAAGAUAUCAGAAGCUAAUGCUGUCACAACAUUUGAGGAAAACAGAGACAGUGAAAUGGAGAAGAUGCGUAACUUUGACUAUAAAUGCUAUGGAAGGAGAAAGGAGAACUCUUCACUUGGGACAAAGUCCUGUAGCCGCAAACUUUCACCAGAGAUCAUGUACAACAUACAGAUGGAUUCUUUAGCAGCAGAAAGGGAGUGGCAGGACAUGAGAAUAAUUGGACAUCUUGAUGCAAACCGGCGUACGCAAGAAACUUCAGCAAUGACCACAUCCACCAAGAAUACACCAAGGAAAAGAAAACAUGCCAGGACAACUUAUUCCAUCGGAGGUAUCGAAGUCUACCGAAAUACCUUUCAGUUUCUCAUGGGGUGAGUUUAUAACUUUUUUAAAAACUAUUAUGAUGCAUCAUACUGUAAAUAAAUCAUGUACUGAAGCGGACAAAUCACAUAAACCUGACCAGUUAAAUAUUAAAAUCGACUUGAGUGGGGUUUGUGUUUGUAUUUUUAAUCUAAGCUUGAGGUUGUGUUUUUUUCUUCCCCAUGCACUGGGUGAUCGGUGGUCACAACAACAGUUUUUUGGCUAGCGUAGAUACACGAGUUUAGCCGGACAAUCACUGUAUCCCAUGUGAAAAUUUACUUGAGUGGGGGAAGGGGGUUCUAUUUUCAAUCUAAGCUUGAGAUGUUUUUUUUUCUUCCCCCUGCACUGGGUGAUCAGUGUUCACAAAAGUUUUUUGGCUAGCGUAGCUACACAAGGUUAGCAUCUACUGUAUCCCAUUCACAAUGUGAAAAUCGACUUGAGUGGGGGGGUUGUAUUUUUAAUCAAAGUUUGACGUGUUGAAAAAAAACAAAAAACAAAUACCUAUUAACCUGUUGUGUUGUCAUACCAAUUUUGUCAACACUCGUUGAUCUAAAACCAUGAGCUGAAAUUUCCUUUGUUUCCCCUGCUCAGAAUCUGUAAAGCCACAUUGACUGACAUCAUCAGACACUUUGAUGAGAACGGUGCAAGACCCCGCUUGAGGAAAAAGAGCCAACGGUUACAGGAUCUCCAUUUUAAGAAGUGCAAACCUUCCAGAGGAGAGGAAGACUGCAGCAAUCAAGAAGCAACAGGAUCAUCUUCAGCUUGUUCAAAAAGAGAUGGCCGUCUACAACGAGAUGACUGCUGCCUACAAAAGACCUGCGAUGACUAUCAGUUGUCCAUCGGCCCCUCACCACCUUCAACUUUGUUGCCAAAAGACCUGGUGUGGUCCUAGCUAGGACUCACAGCGACGCAGAGCCUGUUAGCUUUCAGCUGCUGUGUGACCAGGACGUUCUACCCCCUCUCGUCUGUGUUCCUGCCCUGCCUGCACCUGGACUGGCCAUGGACAGGCAGACUUAUCUUUAUUCAAAGAUCAGGCCUUUCUGUUCCGAUGAAGCGAAGGACAUUACGUGCCCAGCAUCACAAAGCACAACACAGAAUAACACGCAGAAGAGGAUGAUGGUGUGACACUGUGACAUUGGCGUUUUGGCAAUUUGUAAUGUGUAUAAAGUUGUAAAUAAAAAUCACAUUUGUGACAUGAUCAAAG